rnacentral:rRNA from 1 species
CCUACGGGAGGCAGCAGUGAGGAAUAUUGGUCAAUGGACGAGAGUCUGAACCAGCCAAGUCGCGUGAAGGAUGACUGCCCUAUGGGUUGUAAACUUCUUUUAUAAAGGAAUAAAACGAGGCACGUGUGCCUUUUUGCAUGUACUUUAUGAAUAAGGAUCGGCUAACUCCGUGCCAGCAGCCGCGGUAAUACGGAGGAUCCGAGCGUUAUCCGGAUUUAUUGGGUUUAAAGGGAGCGUAGAUGGGUUGUUAAGUCAGUUGUGAAAGUUUGCGGCUCAACCGUAAAAUUGCAAUUGAUACUGACAGUCUUGAGUACAGUUGAGGUAGGCGGAAUUCGUGGUGUAGCGGUGAAAUGCUUAGAUAUCACGAAGAACCCCGAUUGCGAAGGCAGCUUACCAAACUGUGACUGACAUUGAUGCUCGAAAGUGUGGGUAUCAAACAGGAUUAGAUACCCCAGUAGUC